rnacentral:lncRNA from 1 species
CGCGUGAACCCGGGGGGCGGAGCUUGCAGUGAGCCGAGAUCGCGCCACUGCACUCCAGCCUGGGUGACAGAGCAAGACUCCGUCUCAAAAAAAACCCCAAAAAACCUGUGGCUUCUGCCUUGUCUUCUGUCCCUGGGAUUACUCCCUCUGGGAGAAAGCAGGUGUCAUGUCAAGGGGACACCCAAACAGCUCUGUGGAGAGUUCAGUGCCAUGAGGAACUAAGAUCUCCUCCCACAGCCGUGCAGCCGUGUCGGGAACUUGAGGGUGAAUCCCCAAGCACAGUGAAAUCUUCGGAUGACAGCAGCCCCAGCAGCAUCUUGAUUGCCGCCUCGUGAGUGAUCCUAAAACAGAAACUUUCAGCUAAUUUGCCUCCUCAUUUCUGACCCACACAAACUGAGAUUCAAAAACGUGUUGCUUGUGUUAAGCCCUCAAGUUCUGGGGUAAUUUGUUACACAACAAUAGGAGAGGAAACUACAUAUAUAUUUGAGAUGUCAGCUUUUCUUUCUGGUUUCUACCAGCCCCAUUAAGGUUUCAAACCUUUUAGAUCCAAGUCUUGGCCUGAGCUAGGGCUCUGGGAGUGAGGAACUGCCUAUCUCCCCGGUGGGGAGGAAGCUUCUCCAAGCACCGCGCAUUGUCAGAGUGGGCAUGGGGCCUGAGCAUGUCCUGUGCCAUGCAUAGCUCUGGGGGACACUCUGUCUGCCCCUGAAUUGCCUCACUGUUACAGUUAAGAAGAUGAACCUCGUCAGGGGCUAUUACCAGUGCUGCCUUUUGUUCCAAACCACUGCAGAGGAACAAAAAAAAAACAAACAAAAAACUGCACUAGUUUUAAAAAUUGGAAGUGGCAAAAUAGGAGAUGUAGGCUUGAUGUAGAUAUUAAGUAAUUAUUCUAAAUUAGUGAAAACUGACAACUGAACAACACUGAUUAUGAAACAAAGAUUUUGGACCGCCCACCCUGAAUAAUGAAGAGUUAUGUCAAGCAAAAUUGAUAUGAAACGAUGUGUAGUGAUUUCAAGUUGACCCCCCUUCCACUGUUGAUAAGUACUCGGUCACUUCGAUAGUUUUAUUUCUAUUUUUUUCUUAAGAAGGCUUAUUCUAAAGGUCCUCUUUUCACUAUCAUUGUAAAAAAUAAAAUAAUAAUUUUAAUUAUUUGACUUGGAAAUAG